CACUAUCGUUAACUGAAUACAUAGGUUAACGAGGCGAACCGGGGGAACUGAAACAUCUAAGUACCCCGAGGAAAAGAAAUCAACCGAGAUUCCCCCAGUAGCGGCGAGCGAACGGGGAGCAGCCCGGAGUCUGAAUCAGCUUGUGUGUUAGUGGAACGGUCUGGAAAGUCCGACGGUACAGGGUGAUAGUCCCGUACACGAAAAUGCACAGGUUGUGAACUCGAAGAGUAGGGCGGGACACGUGGUAUCCUGUCUGAAUAUGGGGGGACCAUCCUCCAAGGCUAAAUACUCCUGACUGACCGAUAGUGAACCAGUACCGUGAGGGAAAGGCGAAAAGAACCCCGGCGAGGGGAGUGAAAAAGAACCUGAAACCGUGUACGUACAAGCAGUGGGAGCCUCUUUAUGGGGUGACUGCGUACCUUUUGUAUAAUGGGUCAGCGACUUAUAUUCUGUAGCAAGGUUAACCGUAUAGGGGAGCCGAAGGGAAACCGAGUCUUAACUGGGCGUUAAGUUGCAGGGUAUAGACCCGAAACCCGGUGAUCUAGCCAUGGGCAGGUUGAAGGUUGGGUAACACUAACUGGAGGACCGAACCGACUAAUGUUGAAAAAUUAGCGGAUGACCUGUGGCUGGGGGUGAAAGGCCAAUCAAACCGGGAGAUAGCUGGUUCUCCCCGAAAGCUAUUUAGGUAGCGCCUCGUGAACUCAUCUUCGGGGGUAGAGCACUGUUUCGGCUAGGGGGCCAUCCCGGCUUACCAACCCGAUGCAAACUACGAAUACCGAAGAAUGUUAUCACGGGAGACACACGGCGGGUGCUAACGUCCGUCGUGAAGAGGGAAACAACCCAGACCGCCAGCUAAGGUCCCAAAGUCAUGGUUAAGUGGGAAACGAUGUGGGAAGGCACAGACAGCCAGGAUGUUGGCUUAGAAGCAGCCAUCAUUUAAAGAAAGCGUAAUAGCUCACUGGUCGAGUCGGCCUGCGCGGAAGAUGUAACGGGGCUAAACCAUGCACCGAAGCUGCGGCAGCGACACUAUGUGUUGUUGGGUAGGGGAGCGUUCUGUAAGCCGUUGAAGGUGUGCUGUGAGGCAUGCUGGAGGUAUCAGAAGUGCGAAUGCUGACAUAAGUAACGAUAAAGCGGGUGAAAAGCCCGCUCGCCGGAAGACCAAGGGUUCCUGUCCAACGUUAAUCGGGGCAGGGUGAGUCGACCCCUAAGGCGAGGCCGAAAGGCGUAGUCGAUGGGAAACAGGUUAAUAUUCCUGUACUUGGUGUUACUGCGAAGGGGGGACGGAGAAGGCUAUGUCAGCCGGGCGACGGUUGUCCCGGUUUAAGCAUGUAGGCGGAGGUUCCAGGUAAAUCCGGUACCUUUUAACGCUGAGGUGUGAUGACGAGGCACUACGGUGCUGAAGUGAUAAAUGCCCUGCUUCCAGGAAAAGCCUCUAAGCAUCAGGUAACACGAAAUCGUACCCCAAACCGACACAGGUGGUCAGGUAGAGAAUACCAAGGCGCUUGAGAGAACUCGGGUGAAGGAACUAGGCAAAAUGGUGCCGUAACUUCGGGAGAAGGCACGCUGAUA
rnacentral:rRNA from 1 species